rnacentral:rRNA from 1 species
AGCGAACGCUGGCGGCAGGCUUAACACAUGCAAGUCGAGCGGGCGUAGCAAUACGUCAGCGGCAGACGGGUGAGUAACGCGUGGGAACGUACCUUUUGGUUCGGAACAACACAGGGAAACUUGUGCUAAUACCGGAUAAGCCCUUACGGGGAAAGAUUUAUCGCCGAAAGAUCGGCCCGCGUCUGAUUAGCUAGUUGGUGAGGUAACGGCUCACCAAGGCGACGAUCAGUAGCUGGUCUGAGAGGAUGAUCGGCCACAUUGGGACUGAGACACGGCCCAAACUCCUACGGGAGGCAGCAGUGGGGAAUAUUGGACAAUGGGGGCAACCCUGAUCCAGCCAUGCCGCGUGCAGGAUGAAGGCC